GACGAACGCUGGCGGCGUGCCUAAUACAUGCAAGUUGAGCGAUGAAGCUUGGUGCUUGCACCUAUUUGAAGAGCGGCGAACGGGUGAGUAACGCGUGGGGAAUCUGCCUUUGAGCGGGGGACAACAUCUGGAAACGAAUGCUAAUACCGCAUAACAACUUUAAACAUAAGUUUUAAGUUUGAAAGAUGCCAUUGCAUCACUCAAUGAUGAUCCCUCGUUGGAUUAGCUAGUUGGUGAGGUAAACGCUUACCAAGGCGAUGAUACAUAGCCGACCUGAGAGGGGGAUCGGCCCCAAUGGGACUGGGACACGGCCCAAAAUCCUACGGGAGGCAGCCGGAGGGGAACUUCCGGCAUUGACGAAAGUCUGACCGAGCAAAGCCGCGGGAGUGAAGAAGGUUUUCGGAUCCUAAAAAUCCGUUGGUAGGGAAGAACGAUGGUGGGAAUGGAAAGCUCAUCAAGUGACGGUAACUACCCAGAAAGGGACGGCUAACUACGUG
rnacentral:rRNA from 1 species